GGGUUCGAUUCCGGAGAGGGAGCCUGAGAAACGGCUACCACAUCCAAGGAAGGCAGCAGGCGCGCAAAUUACCCAAUCCCGACACGGGGAGGUAGUGACAAUAAAUAACAAUACGGGGCUCUUUCGGGUCUCGUAAUUGGAAUGAGUACAAUUUAAAUCCCUUAACGAGGAACAAUUGGAGGGCAAGUCUGGUGCCAGCAGCCGCGGUAAUUCCAGCUCCAAUAGCGUAUAUUAAAGUUGUUGCAGUUAAAAAGCUCGUAGUUGAAUUUCGGGAUUGACACAUCGGUCGUGCCUUAAGGGGUAUGAACUGGUGUAGUCAAUUUCUCACCUUCUGGAGAACCGCGAUGCCCUUAAUUGGGUGUCACGGGGAACCAGGACCUUUACUUUGAAAAAAUUAGAGUGUUUAAAGCAGGCAUUUUGCUUGAAUACAUUAGCAUGGAAUAAUAAAAUAGGACGGCAUGAUUCUAUUUUGUUGGUUUCUAGGAUCACCGUAAUGAUUAAUAGGGAUAGUUGGGGGCAUUAGUAUUCAAUUGUCAGAGGUGAAAUUCUUGGAUUUAUUGAAGACUAACUACUGCGAAAGCAUUUGCCAAGGAUGUUUUCAUUAAUCAAGAACGAAAGUUAGGGGAUCGAAGACGAUCAGAUACCGUCGUAGUCUUGACCAUAAACUAUGCCGACUAGGAAUCAGACGAUGUUAAUUUUUUAAUGACUCGUUUGGCACCUUACGGGAAA
rnacentral:rRNA from 1 species